rnacentral:lncRNA from 1 species
GGCCUCAGUCCUUCGCCGUCCCUCGCCGUCCUUCGCCAUCGCACGCCACCGCACCCCAUCUCUCGAAAUCUGCAGACAUCUUGAUUUUUCCCACGCUGUCUGUCAGGUCUCCGCCGCCACUCGACGCCAGGGCGCCGGGCCUUGUGGGCUGUGCUGCACCUCGGACGGCUUCGCACCAGCCAGCGCCCUCUCUCUCCUGCAGCACUCUGAUCUGCACCCCCUGAGGGGCUUCCACUGUCCGCGGGGUGAGAAUGCCCCUGGGAGUGUCACAUGACUGCCGCCCCAUGUGUGUGAGAGGCGUCCUCUGGGAGAGCAUGGAUCCUGAGGUCCCAGGAUUGUCAGCUGACCUCUGUCCUGUGUGCCCAGUGGCCCCAGGUGACGUGUCUUCAAGAAGAGGCUGAGCUGCGGUGCUUGUAAGAGUCAUGUGCUGUUCCUGGGGCUUGGAUGAUGUAGGGGAAGCAAGGUGAAAGUGGUAUCCCGUGGUUCCACGUUCUGUCCUGCUGUGGGGCUGUCCCUCACAUGCUUUCAGUGGCUGUUGCAGAGGAAGAGCCUCCGGAAAUCUGCGUGGGUAAAGUCUCAGCCUUAGAUCCAAGGACAGUCCAAGGAAGUCCUAAGACCAUGGAGUUGGUGAUCUGGGAUCUGGGUUUGCUGAUAUUUCUCACCGUGAAUCUCUUGGUGGUGUUUGUGGGCACGAGAGGGGCAGAGAAUGGAGAGUGAGGCUACCACAUGAAGCGUCACCAGAGCUGCUCCCUGCUGCCUGCUCAGAGCACCCCGGAUCCACUGUUCAAUCUGCACAAGAUUCGGGGUCCAGACAUGGGAGACUUCAGCUGCCUCAGAGGACCGUGGACAGGGAAGGCCAGCCUCGCAUCCCUCUGUCCAUGCCUGGAAUGACUUUAAUAACCAAGAGUUUUAUUUUUGAAUUUGUAGCUGUCGUUCACUUUUUACCCACCCAUUCAAUAAACC